rnacentral:rRNA from 1 species
GAUGAACGCUGGCGGCGUGCCUAAUACAUGCAAGUCGAGCGAACAGACGAGGAGCUUGCUCCUCUGACGUUAGCGGCGGACGGGUGAGUAACACGUGGAUAACCUACCUAUAAGACUGGGAUAACUUCGGGAAACCGGAGCUAAUACCAGAUAAUAUAUUGAACCGCAUGGUUCAAUAGUGAAAGACGGUUUUGCUGUCACUUAUAGAUGGAUCCGCGCCGCAUUAGCUAGUUGGUAAGGUAACGGCUUACCAAGGCAACGAUGCGUAGCCGACCUGAGAGGGUGAUCGGCCACACUGGAACUGAGACACGGUCCAGACUCCUACGGGAGGCAGCAGUAGGGAAUCUUCCGCAAUGGGCGAAAGCCUGACGGAGCAACGCCGCGCGAGUGAUGAAGGUCUUCGGAUCGUAAAACUCUGUUAUUAGGGAAGAACAAAUGUGGAAGUAACUAUGCACGUCUUGACGGUACCUAAUCAGAAAGCCACGGCUAACUACGUG